UUUGAGCACUCACUGGCUGUAGAUUCUUUUCCUCUCAGACAUAGACUUUUCCUUGUCUCUGUCUUUUUGUUUGUCAUAAGACACAGGCAUCUCUAUAAGCCUGUUGUCUGGGCUUUUUGUCUUGUUCUGUGUCUUGAGAGCUUGGCUUUGUGACCUUUCUGGUCUCCGCCAUCGGAGGAUGCAUGUACCAGCACGCAUCUUGACGGCCAGUCGAGUAGACUGGGGUUCCGGGACAGACUCUUUGGCCGGCUAUUUCAGCUCUCCGGGGAGUUUGUCGUAAGAGGUCCCAAUUGCUUUCAUAAGGGGCCUUUGUCGUCUCAACCUUUGUUGCUUGCCUUUACUUUCUUAGGCUAUUUUUGGGAGUGAAUUUUCUGGAUCUCUUUUGGGGACGCCUCUUUGUCCUUGGUCAAGCUUUGGUUGAGUUGCUGUUAAGAUCCUACUCGUCAAUUCCGGCCAGACGAUGGAUCAUUUAAAUUCGGAAAACUUCUAAAUAGGGGAAACAAAUUGUGAGAGCUCUCAUCAUAAUUUUUAUUGGUAUCUACGAAAAAAGCCAAAUUAAAAAGGAAACACAAGAAAAUGAUGACUAGGUUUAAACCCUGACUCAGGUUAUAAUUGAAUUGGUGAAAUAUAAAGGUCUAAGUGUUCAUAAUGACAAAUAAAAAUGGCAAGCAAUAGGAUAUAUUGGAGUAUAUGAGGAAGCCAUUUGGUAUAAACCUAAUUCGGCCUGACUGUUUUUUCCAAAAGGGCCUGACUGUGGCUAUUGAGCACACGUUGUAUAUCUGCUUAGACAUUUCCUAUGGCCAGAACAAAGGCCCUUGAGAUAAAGGUGCAACUUCCCCCCACAUUAGCAUUCCCUUAGGGAUAAGCAUUUUUCCUUAGGCUAGGAACUGAUUGCUGCACUCACCUUUGACCACCCAGCUCACCUGUGACCACUCAGCUGGAGACAACAGACUGCCACCCUGCUGUGUUCACUGAGACAGCAGACCUACCUGCUGUUUCCAUCAAUUGCUGUGCCCACAGAGCAGUCUCGCAACUAUUGUAAAAGGGACAUUUCAAUCCUAUGUGAAACAUCCUCUCUGGGGGUAUAUAACCACUCUGUGCACCCCACUUCUUUGGUGCCCUUUCUUCCUUGGGGAAGAGGGGCCCAGGUUAUAAUCUUCAGAUUUAAGCUCAGAAUAAACUCACCCAAAUUUUCAUUUAUAGAUUAGUGAUGGAUUAUUUUUGUCGACAAUAAGAUUAUAAAGGUUGGAAUGCUUGAGCUGAUUUUCUUUUUAUAAAGAGGUUAUAUCAACUUUGCUUGAGUAUGUUUUAAAAUUGUCUGACUGGAAAUGCUUCCUUAUGCAAUAUUAUAAGACUAAGACCUGUUGAGUCCUGGCCAUGGGUCCUGUCCCCAUGCUGCAGCUCUUCACUGCCCAUAGGCCCUGUCCCCAUGCUAUUUGAAUAGAGGAGCGCUACUUCCAGGCCUUGAGCCCAGGAAGUCUUUCUUUUGACUCCUUGGCUUGCUGAGCCCGCUUGCUUCACCAGCUUGUGAGCUAAAGUUCUAGUUUUCCUUGUGCCUUUCUCUUUUUCAAGGAUGGAUCUAAAUUCACUGCUCCAUUGGGAACCUUCUCGGACAGCUGUAUGAAUCCACGUUUGCUGCCCAUGGCUACUCUAUGGGGCAAAUUGUGGCAUUCAGCCUGAAGAGAAUUAGUACCUUAAGUCUGAGGGUGAUGGAGAAUGAAUUAAUCCAUUCCUUCCUGACUCUAUCUCUAAUAGACAAAUUUUACAUGGGCGCGGGUUGGCCACUUAAGUCAUUAGGACGGCCGCCAAUCUCCAAGACUCCCGUUAAAGGUUUCUUUUCCUAAGGCUGGAUUGGGGUCCCUCCCAUGGCUCCUGACCACUCGAACUGUGGGAAAGUCCCAAUCGGGACUCCAGUUCAAGGCAAGUACCAAACUCUAACCUUUGGUUGAGUAUGGGAACCCCUUCUUGGGAGAAUGGCUCCAGGACGCAAUUGGGUAGAAUGUGCCCCAGACCGGCGGAAAAAUUCUUCACUGUUUUUCUCUGUUCUUUUAUCUUUGGGACAAUUCACCUGGCACUUAUGACUGCCAGCAUAAUGGGGAAGGUGUACAAGGGAUGCAAUGCAGAGGGACGCCCCCAUCGCCCCCUGCUAUAGGAACCCCACAGGCAGAACAAGUAGGACGCUGCCGAGGUUCGGGAGAUUUUCAAGGUAAUGGACCCUUUUCUUUCCUCUCUCUUAAAGUGACAGUGACAAUUUUGGGCUCCUUUUGAGCUUUGCAGUUGAGAAACAAAGAAAUCUUUAAAGUGUCAAAGGCUCCACCUCUGGGAGCCCCCACUCUUGUUUCCGGGCCUGAUCACCCUGGCGACCAAGUGGGGUGCCCUCUCUUGGCGAUUGACUUGUUAAGCAUUUUAGGUGCCUACUGAGUUGAUUAUGACAAUAGGAGACCUGUGAUUUAUUCUGUGAACUGUCCUGAUGGUGUUGUGUGCCCUGGCACAGGAACUGCUGUGUGACCUCUAUCUUGAUACCCCUUGGGGAAAAGGCCAUGAGGAUGAGGCCUGAUCUCUUUUCCUUUCUGUUUGUCACCUCCUCUCUUGUCACCAAGUCGAGGUUAAGUUCAGGGUGGACCUAACCAGAACCUGGACCUUCUGUACUUAACUCUCAGCCCCAGACACAGGGAGCCCCAGCCCCCAGCCAGCUCCAGGCCUUUGCCUCCUGCUUCCCUGCCUGGCUCACCUGUGCUGGCUCAGGGACUAAGUGCCCUGGGCUAAGUGGGAUUUGACUAGAUCUUAUAACUGUGUUGAUGCCUGCACUCAGGCGCCUUUGCACCCUUUCUCUGGCCUUGUCAGUCAGACACCAGCUUUAUCACCAUGAGGAAUGCCUCAACCCAGAGACUCACCCCCUGGGCACAUUUUAACUAGUCGGAAACGCUUUCAGUUGGAUGGGUUAUGCCCCAGAAACUCCAGCUCGGAGAAAACUUGAGGAGUUUCUCUGUGCCUUUGUGAUGUAGUCGGACAGGUAGGUCAAUCUAGAAUAUCAUUAAGUUAAACCCAGUAACUUCCAACUGUCCUUGGAAAAUCCUUACAAGACUGGAAAUACAGAUCUAGAGGCAGUUCAGAUUCCACCCAGUUCCUUUAUCUCAAAAAGGAUUAUCAUCUUCCCUCUCUAGGAACUACUAUCUAGCCCAUCACUAAUUCCUAAGACUGAAAAAAAAAAAAAGAGGGGAAAGGUCAUAAGCGUGCCCUUGCCGAGAAAAAAAUCUAGCAUCUUGAGUGUCUUCUCCACAAAUAUUAGUAAAACAGCUCAAAACAAUUUGGAUUCAUACCUAGGGAGCUUUCUAUUGUACCUGAUUCAUGGCAGUGAUUUUUAAAACAAUAGGUGUGAAGGCUCUGUGUCUGUGUGUGUCUGUAUAUGUGUGACUUUACUUCCGGAUGGUAUGGCCAAAACUAAGAGCUCUGUUUAAUUGGCUUAAAGUGAGCGCUUACAUAAAUUCUAAAUGUAGUAGAAAUUAAUCCAAUGUCUUUCAAGUUAACGUGAUAUGAAUUAAUCUUUGGUUAAUGAAAGUUUAAGUUUGUUGGUUUGAUUAAAAUGUUUGGACAUGUCCUCCAGAGUUAGCACUGCAUAUGCAAAUAUGCAGCCUGGGUUUACCAGUCAAAUAAGUUCAUGUUGUCUGUUAGAAAUUUGUCAGCAUAAUAGCUUUAAAUGAUAGCUAAAGUUUGUCUAAUGUCUCAAAGUUUUUGUGGGUAAUCUAAACAUCAUUAUUGGGAACAAAUGGUUUAGAUAUAAAUGAAAUAAGAGUUUAUAGAUAAACUUUUACAUAAUUAUCGUUUGUGGCAUGUGUAUUUAAAAUAACUUCCAAAAUCUUUUUGGUAACUUGAAACUUUGAAGUUUUGCUAGGUUAAUUUAAGUGAAUGAUAAAAUUCGUUGAGUACCUAGAUAAUUUCCAAAUAAGAUAUUAGACAUUAAUUAUUAAAUGUAAGUUUAUCUACUUUUGGCUUCUUAUUGUAAAGAGGCUAAAGGCGUUUGGGUCUAUUGGAAAGUAUGCCUUGUGUUUUAUUGUAAAGUGGCAUGUUUCUAGAAAUUAUGAAAAGUGUUUACAAUGUUCAUAUAAAAGGCAAUUUGUAAUAGCUUAGUUUUUAGCUUUUUACUAGGGUCUGUUAAGGGUUAAAAGUUCUAAUUAACAUGUAAUUAAAGCUACUGGAAAUUAAUAAGGAAAAUGGUCUGCAUUCAAGGAAAGUUAAAAUGUAUGUUUUCAGUAAAGACAGUAUAAAGAAUGGAAAUAUUUUGUUUGAUUGGUUAAGAAAGAUAAAUUUGUCCUAAAGUACUAGAAAGUAAGUAUGAAGGCAUGGAACAAAUUCUGAAUGCAAAAGAAAGUUAUAGAGAUUCUGAAAAGAGUUUUGUACCUGGUCAACCUGGUUAAGAUUGAAAUGAAUCUAAUUAAGUAAAUGGGUUUUAAUAUGAAAAAGUAAACUGGUACAAAAAUUAGAAUUUGGUUUUCUCUCUCAAAAGGAUGAUUAUCUUGAACUUUUCGGCCUGCUCUAAGUCUGCCUAAAAGACAAAUCUGUUUUGUUAAAAUAAUGACUUAGGUCACUCUUAAGAUUUUUGACUGUUUCUGUUGGAUGGAUACCUGAGCAUUGUUUCACAGUGAACGUUGUUUCCUAUUUGAACAAGUAUUUUAAAAUCUUUUGAUAUUUUUGACAAGCUUCUCCCUCAAAAAUAUUCAAGUCCUGAAUAAAGGCUUUCUUUUGACCUGGAUGAAGGAAGAGGAUUUCUCUGGGGAUUUUCAGAGGGCCACUGGGACUUCACAGAGAAAUUUGCUCUCUUCCUGUAAGGUGGAAAAUUCUAAACUAAUUAGUUUUAUUUGGUCUGUUAAAUUACAUUGGAAGCAUUGUCAGAUAAGUGAUGAUAAUCUUAGUUGGUAUUAUGUGGGUAAAUGUUACUGAUAUAAAUUUUCUGAAAUUAUAUAACAUUGCUAAAAUUCUGAUCUGUCCUGGCUAUCAGCCAUAAUUCUAAUUAUUAUUUUAAGGUGUUGUAUAUCACAGAAAUAACCAAGUUUCUCUGUCAAUUGUCAUUUUUAAGUCUUUUGUUGUUUACAGUCAGUUGUUUUACUCUGCCUUUUGCUUUUGCAAAUAUGUCUCAAUCUUCAGAGGGAUUCAUGGAAAGGACUCUGACACUUACUCUGGAACAGUUUUCUGAUAAACUUUCAGAUCAUAGAACUGAGCUCUGGGAUAGAAGCUGAUUGCUGUGCUCACCUGUGACCGCCCAGCUUGAGACAAUAGACUUGCCUCCUGCUAAACCCACCGAGAUAGCAGACCCACUACCUGCUGUGUCCAUCAAGUGCUGUGCCCAACAGGGCAAUCUUGUGACUAUUGUGGGAGGGACAUUUCAAUCAUAUGUGAAACACCCUCUUUGAGGGUACAUAACCACCCUGUGUACCCCACUCUUUGGAGUGCUCUGUUCCUUUGUGGAAAGACUCUCCUGGGUUAUAAUACUAAGAUUUAAGCUCAGAAUAAACUCACCCAAAUUUUCAUUUAUAGAUUGGUUAUGGAUUAUUUUCGUCGACAGUGCUAACAGAAGAUUAAGAUCAAGAACUGAUUAUAUAGGACUGAAUGAACUGAGGAUGAUAAUUUUUAUGACUUUUAUUUGAAAUAUUGUUGAUUUUUUUGAUGUUUUGCUUUGUUUUUUCAGAUUCAAGAAAAUCUUUUUCUUUUCUCUUGUGCUAUGACUUAUAGCAAUUUGGUGAAAUUAUACCUUUGUGAGCAAACUGAAACAUUUAUCUUUUUCUCCCUACCUGAUCCCUCCAGAAUUUGGAAACUCUCU
ensembl:lncRNA